GACGAACGCUGGCGGCGUGCUUAACACAUGCAAGUCGAACGGAAAGGCCCUGCGUUUGUGGGGUUCUCGAGUGGCGAACGGGGGAGUAACACGUGAGUAACCUGCCCUUGACUUUGGGGUAACUUCAGGAAACUGGGGCGAAUACCGGAUAGGAGCUCCUGCAGCAUGGGGGGGGUUGGAAAGUUUCGGCGGUGGGGGAUGGACUCGCGGCUUAUCAGCUUGUUGGUGGGGUAGUGGCUUACCAAGGCUUUGACGGGUAGCCGGCCUGGGAGGGUGACCGGCCACAUUGGGACUACGAUACGGCCCAGACUCCUACGGGAGGCAGCAGUGGGGAAUCUUGCACAAUGGGCGGAAGCCUGAUGCAGAAACGCCGCGUGCGGGAUGACGGCCUUCGGGUUGUAAACCGCUUUCGCCUGUGACGAAGCGUGAGUGACGGUAAUGGGUAAAGAAGCACCGGCUAACUACGUG
rnacentral:rRNA from 1 species